GGAAGAGACUGCUGCUCGACAAAUAAGCAUGCCGAUGAGUGCAGAAUAACUACCAGAGCAUCUCACAGCUCAGCCACUGGGUUCCAAGAGGCAGUGUCAUGUUUGCAAAUGCAGAAGAACGGCAGAUCUCCUAAGGUCCGGAUUCCAUUGGUCAGAACAGAUCACAAGUCCAGCCCAGGUUCAAGAGGAAGUGACUCCACCUCCUGGUGGCAGGACUAGCAAAGGAUUUGCAGCCACCUUCAAUCCACCAGAAGGGAAAAAACAAAAGGAACCAGAGGAAGCUUUUGGAGGCAAUGG